UCGAUAGGUGAACCUGCGGAAGGAUCAUUA
rnacentral:rRNA from 1 species